GGUAACGGCCUACCAAGGCGACGAUCAGUAGCCGGUCUGAGAGGAUGAACGGCCACAUUGGAACUGAGAUACGGUCCAGACUCCUACGGGAGGCAGCAGUGGGGAAUCUUCCGCAAUGGGCGCAAGCCUGACGGAGCAACGCCGCGUGAGUGAAGAAGUGUUUCGAUUCGUAAAGCUCUGUUGUCGGGGACGAAUGUGGAGAUGGUGAACAACCAUUUUCAAUGACGGUACCUGACGGGGAAGCCACGGCUAACUACGUGCCAGCAGCCGCGGUAAUACGUAGGUGGCGAGCGUUGUCCGGAAUUAUUGGGCGUAAAGGGAGCGCAGGCGGGAAGGUAAGUCUAUCUUAAAAGUGCGGGGCUCAACCCCGUGAGGGGAUGGAAACUAUCUUUCUUGAGUGCAGGAGAGGAAAGCGGAAUUCCUAGUGUAGCGGUGAAAUGCGUAGAUAUUAGGAGGAACACCAGUGGCGAAGGCGGCUUUCUGGACUGUAACUGACGCUGAGGCUCGAAAGCGUGGGGAGCGAACAGGAUUAGAUACCCUGGUAGUCCACGCCGUAAACGAUGAAUGCUAGGUGUAGGAGGUAUCGACCCCUUCUGUGCCGGAGUUAACGCAAUAAGCAUUCCGCCUGGGGAGUACGGCCGCAAGGCUGCAACUCAAAUGAAUUGACGG
rnacentral:rRNA from 1 species